rnacentral:tRNA from 1 species
GAUGGUGUAGCUCAGUGGUAGAGCACAUGCUUAGCAUGCACGAGGUCCUGGGUUCAAUCCCCAGUACUUCUG